GUUUCUCGAUUCGGGAAAAUAUCGUUUCACCAAUUUCGCGAAUAAUCAGUCGAAAAUUUACUCCCGAUUUAACUAUUCGCGGUUCAUUCGUAAUUGGAUCCGAUUUACGACAGAUGUCGCUAAUUACCGAAACACGAUACACACGAGAGGCUCAGACGGCCAUUGUUGCCCAAUGAUAAUCGAAGCAACGUGUCGCGAAAUGAAACGAGUCGAUAGAGAUAUUUCGUUGUGUUGUGUUUUCCAUUUUAAUUCGAUUGAAUAGCUACGGUUUCCUACGAUACGAUUGAUUCUGAAAUUAAAGUUUUUGAAAGUUUUCUUCGAGAGUAUAUUCUAGUGUAUUAUCUAGUGCCAAAUAUAUAAUAUCUUAAUAGUGACGAAAAGUGAGGUUAUGAUAUAUAUAGUUAUAAACGAAUAUAAAGAAAGAAGACAAGAAAAUGACAAAUGAAAGCAUUGCAUCACUGCUCGAAAAAAAAAAAGAUUGGAAAACAGAACUGGUUCAUUUCAUACUAUUUUCGAUUCACUUUGUCAAUUAGAUUUACAACUCUUCCUUUGUAUUUAUUCCCAACGUUAUUCAAUCGAAGUUUAUACAGACUGAAUUGCACACUGCGCUGUUAUAUUCUCUAUUCCAUAUGAUACCUCGAUUUGAUUCGUUUCACGAGAAUUGUUGGCUCGAUAUAUCCGCUCUGGAAUCUGGAAGAAGAAUUCGCGUAUAGAUACGUUCGAUAUAGAUCGAACAGACAUCAAAGGGGGAAAGUGAAUUAUUCUUGGGAAUACGAGAGAAUAUCGCGAAUUCUCGUUCGAUUCGGUUCAACCACAGUUUCGGUUGGCUGGUGCGCAUGCUCGAACCAUUUGCUUUACAACAAGGAAGGAAGGAAGGAAGGAAGAAGGAAAGGGAUUCUCGCGCGAAUAUCAACGAAAGAUCGGAAUUGGCUAUUAAAAGUUCGCGAUAACUUUUCGAAGCGGAUAGGCAAGAAAGCUCCCUUCUGUAUCGGGAAUCUGUUUUCACGUGCAUACCCAGUGUCCCAAAAAUUUUUUCUUUUCUUUCUUUCUUUCUUUCUUUGUUUCUUUUUUUAUCGAGAAUAUAAAAAUUAAAAUUAGCAAGAUAGAUUAAGGCGUAAAAUAACUUAAUGUUUUAACGGUAUCAUUAAACGAAUUAAUGAUACACGAGUUUAAAUUUGGAUGAAGAGUAUGCAAUUUUGGUACAGGUAAUAUUAAGUUAUUUAUAUUUUGUAUAAUUUAAGCGAGUUAAGUAAUUUAACUUAAAAGUUACGAGAUCAAUCUACGUAAUCAUUAAUCACGAUAUCAGAUUUUGAAGAUUGAAAAUUGUUGAUUAAACUUAAAUUGUUGUGUGUAUUCUAUAUUUAAAUUUAUCAGAAGGGAAUAAAUUUUCUUUGUUCUGAGUUUAAAUUUAA